CGGCAUCUGCCCUAAAUCCUAUAAAGCCCAACGCCCCCCCCCACCCAUCCCCGUGAUAAACCAACACUAGCCGUGUCAUCCGCCCUGCGUGGGUGGCACAAUGCCAAGGCCAACAACAAAGGACACACACACACCACACCGCACACACAGGGACGUCGGUGGCUUACGAUUCGCCACGUUCAGCAGAAAAGCCCUCCCCGACUGUGAAAUAUUCAAACCGUAAGCCCAUCUGGAGGCGUUUGGAGUACAGUGGCGAGAGACCACGAAUCCAUGAAUUUUACAAAACGUGCACAAAGAUCACUCGCGAAAGAGGUGUACUUCAAAAUCGUUCAUCCAUGCAAAUGUGUUCGGCAGAAAGACGUCGACGCUAUUUAAAGAGCCACUCUCGACGGCUACGCGUGCACCACAACGACCCCAACGUGAAUCUACCCUUGAGUUGAAUCACCACCACCCCCCCCCAUCCCCGAAGCGGCCAAUUCAUUCAAUCCCCAAGGAGGUGAGUCAUCACAUUCAAAACAUUCACAAUGAUUUAGUACGGUGAGUACGGGACUGGAAUAAUGUAUUUAAAUUGUCUACACUACAUACUCUCUAGACUGCAACCCUUCAGCGCAGUGUAGAAUUCAGUUACUCUUUCUGAGAUGUGUAACCACAGUAUUCGACUUCCUAUUUGUAUCUGCCACCUUUUUGUGAAUCCA